UGGGCCUUUUGUGCCGGCCCAUUAGGCAAAGACCAAGGGGAUCGAACUGAAUCGGGCGAAGAGGCGAUGGACAGCCGAGGGAAUGGCUCGAUCCUGCCGCCCCGGCAGAUGCGGGGAUCGCGCGAGGGAAUGGCUCCUCGAUCCAGCCGCCGCGAGCGAUGCGGGGAUCUAGCCGCCGCGGGUAAUGCGGGGAUUGCUCGAUCCAGCUGACACACGCGGACGAUUCAGGCCGGCGCUUUGUUUGAUCGAAACUGCUCCACCGAGGUUUGAAGGCGCAAUCAUUCUUCAGUUUCUCUUCACACAUUCAUGGCUGGUAAUGUUCCGUCCUUUCCGCUGCUUCGGGCUAGAGGUGCGUGUAUAUAUGCUGCCUCUCAUUAGCAGUCUUCACUCACACCCUUUCCGCUCCGGCAGCAGAACAUCCUUCAGCGUGAUGCUCGAUAGGCUUCCCUGUAUUUCUUUUCAGUUAAUGUGUGAUCUUUCUCCCACCAGGCAAUUACCUUGUCCUGAUGUCCUGUUAUUCUAAAAAAAAAUAUUACAUACAGGUGAUGUUCAUGCUGGUUGUAGUCGACUGACUUGGUUGGAAUUGGUACUGGCAUUUUCUUAGUUCGGCUGCUCAUAAUUACCAAUGGCUUGACAGGUAAUUACUAUCUUUCGUGUCUUACCAUCCAUAUUCUUAUGCCACACUUUGCUUAGAUUGUAUGUUCCUGUGUUAUAUGGAACAGGUUAUUUAGAACAGUAUAUUAGAAUGUUCCAAAAACGUAGCAAUGCUGUCGUAGAGGGAGGAAAAGCCAAAUAUCUUCUGCUUCUUCUAUCCAUAAACGAGCAAAGCCGAACAAUCCUGUGGAUAAUUUCUUUCCUAAUUACACAAGCGACAUCCAGGGGAAAAUCAUGUCGCCCGUGUUAAAUACAGAAAACAUGAAAUUUUUACACAAUCAGGGCCAUUGCGUGAUGCCACUGGCUGGAUACAAUUGCCUCACCAUUCUUACUCUUGCAGCAAAUCCUCCAGCGGUAUGGUUCUCGGCUAAGGUUUCCCUCCAUCCACAUUUUUACCUUCAUCGUGAAUUUUCUUUAAUGCAAUUUCUACCGUGUGCCUGUUUGGUGAUGCUUCUGUGUAACUCUCUACUUUAGAUUUGGCAUGGCUAGAUCUUUAGAAAGAUAUACAUCUUUGUCGAUUAUUGAAGGUCAGGUGUUUGUCAAAUUGGUUCUUUGCCAUCCAUGGUGUUGUUGUCUGGCUUGGCCAUAUGUUAAUUGGUGAACUUUAUAAUUAUUAAUAUAUACCGAUAAAUGUUGCAAGUUUAUUCAUUCAGUGGGAUCAUGAGGUCAGGACAUAGAGUCCUGCAGCAAAAUAUGAAAAAACCUAAUUAGAGUGACAUAAUUAUAUUUUACAAAGCAAAGCACUUCUAGAAAGCUUGUGUGAUGAAGCUGUCCCAUGAUUCUUCAUAUGCUGUUUCUAUCCCAUAUCAAUAAAAUAUGGAUGCUCUGUUUCAUACUCUUUAGCUCAUUAGUAAUUCUUCAAGAAAACACACGCACAUAACUACACAUUUUAUGGAUUAUUUGGAGUGACACAUUUUCAUCACUGCUGUCAAUUCACUAUAUAGUAGUGUCAUUUCAGUUAAUAAUGUGUUAGUCGUUACACUUACAUAUUUUAAACGAGAGUCUUUCCCCAAUUACGUUUCCCUCACAGCAUUGUUGAGAGCGUCAGAGAAGGCGUGACCAGUCCUGCCAGUGUAAACUGGCCAGUGCAAGGAGUGUGCUCGCUGUAAACCUCUGUGACCUCCUCAGGAUCAAUGUCAACCGGGGUAUGCUGAUCGACUAUGUGCCAUCCCGCUUCACCAUCAGCAGGAACCAAUAUUCGUCUUAGUCCGGACCUCAACCUUAAGUAUUGUUCCGAUGCCGUUCAGAUUCAGAAUGCUGUAUGUGACAUGUGAUAUUUUAUAUUACACAAUAUACUUGCAGGUUUAGAAGAAUUAUUCCCUAUGACCAUCACUUUUAUGUCUUUUUAACAUGAUCAGGCUAUGGAAGUGGCCAGGAUGGCUAGGGCAUCAAGUAUUAUCAGGGUGGACUUGAACCCUGCAAAAUAUGUACAAGUUACAGUCUAUUGUUAUCUUCAAAAAGAAAAAAGAAUGAUUUCUGGUAAAUGUUAAUGGACACACACUGAACUUCAGCAAAAAAAAAAAAGCCAGCUAAGAAAUUUGGCUGCACCGUCUUUGUAAACCCAAAGGAUCACAUUUCAAGCAAUAGUUAUGUUAAGUUCUUUGCCUAAGCAUACAUUAAUCCCUUAAUUUGUUCAUGGGAUGCAAUAUUGUAUCAAAUGCUCGCAAUUGAAUUUGCUCCUGGUGCUUGUCGAGAUGACAAACAGUGGAGGCAACAGAGCCGUGGAUUGCACUUGCCACAUCCACGCCAUGAUAUCUGCCUUUGAAUGCGUUCAUGAUGGGUGAGGCGUGGUCAGGCUGGUGGGCGCCCCGCAGAAGGAGGCAGUGUUCAAUACCCACCCAAUGAACUUCAUCAAUGAGAAGACCUUCUCAACACUCGCCAAUAGCCAGCAGUCUUUAGUUACUGUGUACAUGAACAUUUUGCACAGUAAUGGUUUGUAGUUUCUUUGUUUU